rnacentral:rRNA from 1 species
UACGGAGGAUCCAAGCGUUAUCCGGAUUCAUUGGGUUUAAAGGGUGCGUAGGCGGAAUGAUAAGUCAGUGGUGAAAUCCUGCAGCUUAACUGCAGAACUGCCAUUGAUACUGUCAAUCUUGAGUAUAUUUGAUGUGGGCGGAAUGUGUCAUGUAGCGGUGAAAUGCUUAGAUAUGACACAGAACACCGAUUGCGAAGGCAGCUCACAAAACUAUAACUGACGCUGAG